AGGUAAUAAAAAUGUCGACAUCAAAGAAACGUUGAGAAAGGUAAAUAUUAACCUGGUCAUCUGGCCAUGGUUGAUUUUUGGUAUCCAGCCAGGUUAUUAGGUACGUGUGAAGUUAAGGAUGACAGUGGUAAUUAAGAAUUCUAGAAUUUCUUCUAAACUUUAACAACAAAAUGUUGAUGUUAUGAUGUUAAUUCAGAAACGCGAGCGAAGACAUUACUUAUUAAAGGUUUAUGAAUAUUCAUUGAUUGAGAUGAUAAACAUUUGAAGACAUUAAAAAAAAAACGCACGUUAAAACAUUAACCCACAGAAAAACUUAUUUUUGAAUAUAAUUUGGUUACUGUCGAAAGGAAUACAUGCACAUAACACUCAGACGGAGAAAGAAGAUAAUUUUUCUCAUGGGUUGGUGAUUUUUUUUAUUAUUAAAUCAUUCUACAUGACAUUCUACAGUGGUUUCUGUAACACUCAGAAACGUGUCCUUCGCCCCAAACGUGUCCGAUUCCCCCAAACAUGUCUAGUUGAAAACUGCGCCAAAGCGUGUCAUUUGUAUAAACGCCCAAACGUGUCCAUUUCUCAACUAACCACCAAACGUGUCCAAUCCCCAAAACGUGUCCAUAUCAAGCGUUAUUUGGUUAUUGCUAUUUCAUUAACGUAUACUAAUUUUACCAUUUCAUUAAAAAUAUACAUAAGCACGUUAGUACUUUUUCAAAACGGAAGAAUUAAACUGGCUUAAAGUGGGGCGUCAUUUCGGCUAUUUCGUUUGUAAAUUGUAAGCAAACAUGUUGAGUUAAACAGUACAGUUAACGGAUCAAAGGGUCCCUUUCUCUGCGAGUUAAAACUUUAAUGUUCUCUCUAAUUAUGCAUGAAAUACUGACAACUGGCCAAUUCGCAAUCAACAGUCUAAAGUUAAUUUAUUCAGUAGAACUGAAAAAAACAUUAAAACUUGUAUGUUUUCUCUAAUUUGCAUGAAAUACUUGCAACUGGACAAUAUGCAACCAGCAGUCUAGAGUUUAUCUUAACAAAAGAACAGUAAAAACAUUAAAACAUGUAUGUUAAAAUGUAAAAAAAAAAAAAAAAAAAAAAAAAAAAAAAAAAACAGGUAGCCUAUGUUCUCUCUAAAUAGAACUGCAAAGACAUUAAAACUUGUAUGUUCUCUCUAAAUAUGCAUGACAUACUUGCAACUGGACAAUACGCGAUCAUCAGUUUAAAGUUUAGUUUAAAGUUAAUGUGUACAGUACAACUGUAAAAACAUUAAAACUUGCAAAACUAUUGUGCGCUCUAAAUAUGCAUAAAGUACUUGCAACUGGACAAUACGUCAUCAACAUUCUAAAGUUUAUUUAUACACUACAAAAUAAAUUUGCAUUUAAAACCGGCGUUGAUCACAUAACAGUAAUAUUCAUAAAAAAAAGAAUCUAUAAAACUUAUGCAUGAAAUAUUUGGCACUGGACGUUAUGUUUCUUAUCGUGUGUCUCUAGUGAUGGUGGAAACUUUAAAAAUUUAUUAAAAACCAGGAUAACAAGUUUAUAAUUUGAUGGGCUUUUGAAAUACACACAAACUAUUGACAAAAGUAAAAAAAAUACUGUUAAAACCCCGCCAUGCAAUAUUCGGAUAAAUAUAAAAGGCAUCAUCGGAGUUUAUAAGUACAAAAUAAUUAUCAAAGUUAACGAUUAAUUCAACUCCAGAACUAUGUGUAUGUUCGCUCUAAACAAAUAUGAAAUACUUGCAACUGGACAAUAAACAACUGCAGUCA
rnacentral:lncRNA from 1 species